GUGAAUCAUCGAAUUUUUGAACGCAAAUUGCACUCUCUUCGGAGAGGAGGACUGUUUGAGGGUCAGCCUAAAAAAAAUCGACGUAGUCGCUGUUUCCCGAUGACAUUCGUCGGAAAUUGGUUCAUCGUAAACCUUUUGGUUUUUAAGCGGCGUAAAAUUUUCGUUACGAUUCCACGAACGUUUCUAAGUUUUGACUUCUUACACACGUUUAAGGUAACGAUCUUUAUUAAACGUGUCCGUUGGAUCGGUUCA
rnacentral:misc_RNA from 1 species